rnacentral:rRNA from 1 species
UACGUAGGGGGCAAGCGUUAUCCGGAUUUACUGGGUGUAAAGGGAGCGUAGACGGCCAGACAAGUCAGAAGUGGAAGCCCAGGGCUCAACCCUGGGACUGCUUUUGAAACUGCCGGGCUGGAGUGCAGGAGAGGUAAGCGGAAUUCCUAGUGUAGCGGUGAAAUGCGUAGAUAUUAGGAGGAACAUCGGUGGCGAAAGCGCUUUACUGGACCAUUAUUGACGCUGAGGAACGAAAGCCAGGGGAGCAAAUGGG